rnacentral:rRNA from 1 species
CCACUGCGGAUCCUUAGUACGGCGAGUGAGCGGUAAAAGCUCAAAUUUGAAAUCUGGUACUUUCAGUGCCCGAGUUGUAAUUUGUAGAAUUUGUCUUUGAUUAGGUCCUUGUCUAUGUUCCUUGGAACAGGACGUCAUAGAGGGUGAGAAUCCCGUUUGGCGAGGAUACCUUUUCUCUGUAAGACUUUUUCGAAGAGUCGAGUUGUUUGGGAAUGCAGCUCAAAGUGGGUGGUAAAUUCCAUCUAAAGCUAAAUAUUGGCGAGAGACCGAUAGCGAACAAGUACAGUGAUGGAAAGAUGAAAAGAACUUUGAAAAGAGAGUGAAAAAGUACGUGAAAUUGUUGAAAGGGAAGGGCAUUUGAUCAGACAUGGUGUUUUUUGCAUGCACUCGCCUCUCGUGGGCUUGGGCCUCUCAAAAAUUUCACUGGGCCAACAUCAAUUCUGGCAGUAGGAUAAAUCAUUAAGAAUGUAGCUACCUCGGUAGUGUUAUAGCUUAUUGGAAUACUGCUAGCUGGGAUUGAGGACUGCGCUUCGGCAAGGAUGUUGGCAUAAUGGUUAAAUGCCGCCCGUCUUGAAACACGGACCAA